GGUCCCGUCGUACAACGGAUAGUAUGUGAGUUUCCGGAACUCAAGAUCGUGGUUCGAUUCCACGCGGGACCA
rnacentral:tRNA from 1 species